CACGUGGGCCUUUAUCAUCUCACCUCGGCUCAGGAAGAAGCCCUGGCCUUUUGACCUGCUUUGUGGAGGGCACUGUUUCAAGGAAGAAGGAGCUUUUGCCCCCCAACCCCAGAAUGCACUGGGGCGGAUCUCCAGGCAGGAUUCUGAGGAAGAAGACUCAGCCCUGCUCCCGAGGAGCCCCCAGCGUGUGGGAGAGAACCAGCCCCUGCCCGCAGACUGCCUCCGCCGGUCUGAAGGUACAACGUGGAAACGGUCGGAAAGCAAGUCUUUGUCUCUGCCCUAUCCCAGUGCCGUGGGCCCCUUCCUUCCAGUGGCUUCAACUGUGAUGAUUCCACCCUGAAGCAUCCCCUGCCUCUAGAGCGUUCUUGCCCGGCUUCCUGUGGUUUGAUUCACUCACACGUACUUUUAAAGUCAA